UACGAAGGGUGCAAGCGUUACUCGGAAUUACUGGGCGUAAAGCGUGCGUAGGUGGUUCGUUAAGUCUGUCGUGAAAACCCCGGGCUCAACCUGGGAAUGGCGAUGGAUACUGGCGGGCUAGAGUGCGGUAGAGGGUGGUGGAAUUCCCGGUGUAGCAGUGAAAUGCGUAGAGAUCGGGAGGAACAUCAGUUGCGAAGGCGGCCACCUGGACCAGCACUGACACUGAGGCACGAAAGCGUGGGGAGCAAACAGG
rnacentral:rRNA from 1 species